rnacentral:rRNA from 1 species
AUACGGAGGGUGCAAGCGUUGUUCGGAAUCAUUGGGCGUAAAGAGCGUGUAGGCGGCCAAUUAAGUCUGAUGUGAAAGCCCGGGGCUUAACCCCGGAAGUGCAUUGGAUACUGGUUGGCUAGAGGACGAGAGGGGAAGGCGGAAUUCCUGGUGUAGGGGUGAAAUCCGUAGAUAUCAGGAGGAACACCGGAGGCGAAGGCGGCUUUCUGGCUCGUAACUGACGCUGAGACGCGAAAGCGUGGGGAGC